rnacentral:rRNA from 1 species
GUGGGGAAUAUUGGACAAUGGGCGAAAGCCUGAUCCAGCAAUGCCGCGUGAGUGAUGAAGGCCUUAGGGUUGUAAAGCUCUUUUACCAGGGGUGAUAAUGACAGUACCUGGAGAAUAAGCUCCGGCUAACUCCGUGCCAGCAGCCGCGGUAAUACGGAGGGAGCUAGCGUUGUUCGGAAUUACUGGGCGUAAAGCGCACGUAGGCGGUUACUCAAGUCAGAGGUGAAAGCCCGGGGCUCAACCCCGGAACUGCCUUUGAAACUAGGUAACUAGAAUCUUGGAGAGGUCAGUGGAAUUCCGAGUGUAGAGGUGAAAUUCGUAGAUAUUCGGAAGAACACCAGUGGCGAAGGCGACUGACUGGACAAGUAUUGACGCUGAGGUGCGAAAGCGUGGGGAGCAAACAGGAUUAGAAACCCCUGUAGUCC